rnacentral:lncRNA from 1 species
GGUUUCUCUCCAGGUUUUGUCCAGGGUUUUGUUCCAAGGAAACCUCAGAGUGUUUUUUGCUUCCCUUCCUUUUUCUGUCUCUUUUGUUUCAAUGAAACUCUAGUAUUUAUAGGCUAAUAUUGGUAGCUUAGUGGGCUUUUGAGAGAGGUCAAAGUUUGAGAUUAUUUAUUUAUUUAUUUUUUCGUUUUUCGUUUUUUUUUUGUUUU